rnacentral:rRNA from 1 species
GAUGAACGCUAGCGGCAGGCUUAAUACAUGCAAGUCGUGGGGCAGCAUGAGUAGCAAUACUUGAUGGCGACCGGCAAACGGGUGCGGAACACGUACACAACCUUCCGAUAAGUGGGGAAUAGCCCAGAGAAAUUUGGAUUAAUACCCCGUAACAUAUAGAGUAGGCAUCUUCUUUAUAUUAUAGCUUCGGCGCUUAUUGAUGGGUGUGCGUCUGAUUAGGUAGUUGGCGGGGUAACGGCCCACCAAGCCUACGAUCAGUAGCUGAUGUGAGAGCAUGAUCAGCCACACGGGCACUGAGACACGGGCCCGACUCCUACGGGAGGCAGCAGUAAGGAAUAUUGGACAAUGGGCGAAAGCCUGAUCCAGCCAUGCCGCGUGAAGGAUUAAGGUCCUCUGGAUUGUAAACUUCUUUUAUUUGGGACGAAAAAAGGGAAUUCUUUCCCACUUGACGGUACCAAGUGAAUAAGCACCGGCUAACUCCGUGCCAGCCGCCGCCGUAACAC